rnacentral:rRNA from 1 species
GGAUCGACUAUGUCGAAUAAAAUUCUAGGUAGAAUUAUGAUAAUGACAUUGUCUGCCUAUGUGUCUUGACCAAAUUACGUGCCAGCAGUCGCGGUAAUACGUAGAAGACUAGUGUUAUUCAUGUUUAAUCGGUUUAAAGGGUACCUAGACGGUAAAUCAAGCCUAAAAUUAAAUGAAGGGACUAAUUUACUAGAGUUACUUAUGAGGGGGUAUUAAAGUACUGCUGGUGUAGAGAUGAAAUUCUGUCAUACCUCUUUUCAAUAGAAAAACAAUGGCACAGGUAUAGGCGAAAGCAUCCCCUUAUGUGAUAACUGACGUUGAGGGACGAAGGCUUUGUGUAGCGAACAGGAUUAGAUACCCCAGUAGUCAAAGCAGAAAAUGAUGAAUGUCAUAGAUUAGAUAAAUAAGUUUAUUCUAUAAAUGAAAGUGUAAGCAUUCCACCUCAAGAGUAAUUUGGCAACAUUGGAACUGAAAUCAUUAGACCGUUUCUGAAACCAGUAGUGAAGUAUGUUGUUUAAUUUGAUGAUCCGCAAAAAACCUUACCACAAUUUGAAUAUUUAUAUUUUUUUAUUGUUUUCUUUUUAAUUUUCUUCUGAUUUGAUUUUUCUAAAGAAAAAAAGAAAAAAAGAAAAAGAGGCGAUAUGAUAUAUUUACAAGCGUUGCACGGCUGUCUUCAGUUAAUGUCGCGAGACUUUGGUUAGUUCCAUUAAAUUAACGUAAACCCUUACUUUAUUUUUAUAUAGAGUAGUUCCCCGCUAUAUUGGAUAUGAUAAC